rnacentral:rRNA from 1 species
AGGGAAUCUUCCGCAAUGGACGAAAGUCUGACGGAGCAACGCCGCGUGAGUGAUGAAGGCCUUCGGGUCGUAAAACUCUGUUGUCAGGGAAGAACAAGUACCGGAGUAACUGCCGGUACCUUGACGGUACCUGACCAGAAAGCCACGGCUAACUACGUGCCAGCAGCCGCGGUAAUACGUAGGUGGCAAGCGUUGUCCGGAAUUAUUGGGCGUAAAGCGCGCGCAGGCGGUCCUUUAAGUCUGAUGUGAAAGCCCACGGCUCAACCGUGGAGGGUCAUUGGAAACUGGGGGACUUGAGUGCAGAAGAGGAAAGCGGAAUUCCACGUGUAGCGGUGAAAUGCGUAGAGAUGUGGAGGAACACCAGUGGCGAAGGCGGCUUUCUGGUCUGUAACUGACGCUGAGGCGCGAAAGCGUGGGGAGCAAAC